GAAGGUUUUCACCCCUGAAGGGAGAAGCACGAGGGAACAGUCCAGUCUGUCCAAAGUUGAGACUGGAAUUGAACAAGGAGCAGAGCAGACCAAGCAUGUUCAUACAUGGCAUGGCUCAAGACAUCAUCAUUUGAGACUGAAAAUCAGCCUUCAACUGUCUGCUGAGUCAAUAGACUUCUCUAGAGAUCUCAAAUGCAAGGGAAAAUUGAUGGGUUAACAAAAAAGAUUCGUGAACAUUUUUCUGUUCGAAAUUUUCUACUGGAGGCUGGAAAUGCUUCUUAUAAGUGGCUAAGUUUCAAUUAUUUUGUAGGAUCAAAGGCUCUGCAGAGAGUUUGCUGACCAUGGUGUUGAAAACAAAGGGUGCUGCGCAUCAGGUACGAGAAAAUCAGAGUCUGAACCAACUCCGCAGCAUGAUCCAAUGAUUCAAAUUGAAAACUGAGCAGUCAUCUAACCGUGAUCAAAUAAAUAUGAAUACAAUUUCUUCGAUACAUAAUGAAAAGUAUACAUAUUAACCAAGGAGAGUGUCCAAAUUUGGUGUGUUUCCAAACUUGAAGCAGCUUAUAAUCAUUGAAUGCAACAAUUUGAAGUCAUUGCCUGAACGCAUUCACACCCUCACAGCCCUUCGAGAGUUGAGGAUAGAUGGUCUUCCAAAUCUUGUGUCAUUUGCAGAAAGGGGUUUGCUUCCCAACCUCCGACAUUUUAGCAUUCAGAAUUGUGAGAGACUGAGGGUUCUGGUGAGAGAGCACUGGGGUUUGCAACAACUUGUCUCCCUUGAAGAAUUUUAUAUUGGAGGAAGAGCAAGUGAUGAUAUCUUGGAGAUGUUGCUAAAGGAACAGCUGCUCCUACCACUCUUCACACUUUAGGCAUCGACGAAAUUACAAGUCUGAAAUCUUUGGACAGAAGGGGACUUAAGACACCUCACUUCUCUUCAAUGCCUACAAAUUGGAAGCUGUACAAGUGUCGAAUUUCUGCAACUUCAACACCUCACUUCUAUAUAUUAGGGAGUGCGACCUGCCAAAAGAGGGUUUGCCGCCAUCUCUUUCUUCUCUUCGGAUAGUAAUGUGUUCUGCCCCGGCGAAAAGAUAUGAGAAUAAGACGGGACAAGAUUGGGACAACAUCUCUCACAUUCCUUGCCCUGGAGAGACAAAGUACUACUUUUCUAUAUUUCACCAUCAACUCACAACUCUCAGACCAAACUCAGGAUAGCAACCUUCUCUUGGAGAGCUUUUCCCUUGCUAGGUUUCUUUACGUGUCGUCUUCAUUUCCAGAAGAGGGUUUACCAUUGUAUAUAGCCUUUUGGUUUGCUAGCAACGGAAAGAUUCAGCUGGCUGGAAUAUCUCAAUUGACAAUUUCCUCAUAAAAAUGUAUUUUCUGGGAGCGAAGCUCGGGUCGAGACAGGCAUGUUUAAUGGUGAAAUGGAUGUUAUUUCUUGUUCGAGCCCGUUCUCGAAGCUCUUGUUUGCAAAUGUAAGAGAUGAGAGUAUUUGGAUUAAAAGGAGAUGACAUGUCUGAGAAUAAGCAAUCUCUGUUCUUAGAUUGAUCUU